rnacentral:misc_RNA from 1 species
GAUGAAGAACGUAGCGAAAUGCGAUACGUAAUGUGAAUUGCAGAAUUCAGUGAAUCAUCGAAUCUUUGAACGCAUAUUGCUCUCUCUGGUAUUCCGGAGAGCAUGCUUGUUUGAGUAUCAGUAAACACCUCAACUUCCAUAUCUUUUUUGAAAUGGGAGUUGGACUUGAGUGAUCCCAACGCUUUUCCUCACCGAAAAGUGGCGGGUUACUUGAAAUGCAGGUGCAGCUGGACUUUUCUCUGAGCUAUAAGCAUAUCUAUUUAGUCUGCCUAAAAAACAGAUUAUUACCUUUGCUGCAGCUAACAUAAAGGAGAUUAGUUCUUGUGCUGACUGAUGCAGGAUUCACAAAGACAGGCUUCGGCCGACUUUGUAAACUCGAUCUCAAAUCAAGUAAGACUACCCGCUGAACUUAAGCAUAUCAAUAAGCGGAGGA